rnacentral:tRNA from 1 species
AGAGUUAUACUUUAACACAAAAAGGACAGGCUGUCACCUAUGUCAAUAGAAGCUGUUCUUCUUGACUCUC